rnacentral:rRNA from 1 species
ACCAAAUAGAUACCCGGGUAGUCCACGCCCUAAACGAUGCGAACUGGAUGUUGGGUACAUUACGGUACUCAGUGUCGAAAGCUAAACGCGUUAAGUUCGCCGCCUGGGGAGUACGGUCGCAAGACUGAAACUCAAAGGAAUUGACGGGGGCCCGCACAAGCGGUGGAGUAUGUGGUUUAAUUCGAUGCAACGCGAAGAACCUUACCUGGCCUUGACAUCUGUCGAAUCCUGCAGAGAUGCGGGAGUGCCGCAAGGAACGACAAGACAGGUGCUGCAUGGCUGUCGUCAGCUCGUGUCGUGAGAUGUUGGGUUAAGUCCCGCAACGGAGCGACCU